rnacentral:rRNA from 1 species
GGGACACGUGGUAUCCUGUCUGAAUAUGGGGGGACCAUCCUCCAAGGCUAAAUACUCCUGACUGACCGAUAGUGAACCAGUACCGUGAGGGAAAGGCGAAAAGAACCCCGGCGAGGGGAGUGAAAAAGAACCUGAAACCGUGUACGUACAAGCAGUGGGAGCACAGAGCAAUCUGUGUGACUGCGUACCUUUUGUAUAAUGGGUCAGCGACUUAUAUUCUGUAGCAAGGUUAACCGAAUAGGGGAGCCGAAGGGAAACCGAGUCUUAACUGGGCGUUAAGUUGCAGGGUAUAGACCCGAAACCCGGUGAUCUAGCCAUGGGCAGGUUGAAGGUUGGGUAACACUAACUGGAGGACCGAACCGACUAAUGUUGAAAAAUUAGCGGAUGACUUGUGGCUGGGGGUGAAAGGCCAAUCAAACCGGGAGAUAGCUGGUUCUCCCCGAAAGCUAUUUAGGUAGCGCCUCGUGAAUUCAUCUCCGGGGGUAGAGCACUGUUUCGGCAAGGGGGUCAUCCCGACUUACCAACCCGAUGCAAACUGCGAAUACCGGAGAAUGUUAUCACGGGAGACACACGGCGGGUGCUAACGUCCGUCGUGAAGAGGGAAACAACCCAGACCGCCAGCUAAGGUCCCAAAGUCAUGGUUAAGUGGGAAACGAUGUGGGAAGGCCCAGACAGCCAGGAUGUUGGCUUAGAAGCAGCCAUCAUUUAAAGAAAGCGUAAUAGCUCACUGGUCGAGUCGGCCUGCGCGGAAGAUGUAACGGGGCUAAACCAUGCACCGAAGCUGCGGCAGCGACGCUGAUGCGUUGUUGGGUAGGGGAGCGUUCUGUAAGCCUGUGAAGGUGUGCUGUGAGGCAUGCUGGAGGUAUCAGAAGUGCGAAUGCUGACAUAAGUAACGAUAAAGCGGGUGAAAAGCCCGCUCGCCGGAAGACCAAGGGUUCCUGUCCAACGUUAAUCGGGGCAGGGUGAGUCGACCCCUAAGGCGAGGCCGAAAGGCGUAGUCGAUGGGAAACAGGUUAAUAUUCCUGUACUUGGUGUUACUGCGAAGGGGGGACGGAGAAGGCUAUGUUGGCCGGGCGACGGUUGUCCCGGUUUAAGCGUGUAGGCUGGUUUUCCAGGCAAAUCCGGAAAAUCAAGGCUGAGGCGUGAUGACGAGGCACUACGGUGCUGAAGCAACAAAUGCCCUGCUUCCAGGAAAAGCCUCUAAGCAUCAGGUAACAUCAAAUCGUACCCCAAACCGACACAGGUGGUCAGGUAGAGAAUACCAAGGCGCUUGAGAGAACUCGGGUGAAGGAACUAGGCAAAAUGGUGCCGUAACUUCGGGAGAAGGCACGCUGAUAUGUAGGUGAAGUCCCUCGCGGAUGGAGCUGAAAUCAGUCGAAGAUACCAGCUGGCUGCAACUGUUUAUUAAAAACACAGCACUGUGCAAACACGAAAGUGGACGUAUACGGUGUGACGCCUGCCCGGUGCCGGAAGGUUAAUUGAUGGGGUCAGCGCAAGCGAAGCUCUUGAUCGAAGCCCCGGUAAACGGCGGCCGUAACUAUAACGGUCCUAAGGUAGCGAAAUUCCUUGUCGGGUAAGUUCCGACCUGCACGAAUGGCGUAAUGAUGGCCAGGCUGUCUCCACCCGAGACUCAGUGAAAUUGAACUCGCUGUGAAGAUGCAGUGUACCCGCGGCAAGACGGAAAGACCCCGUGAACCUUUACUAUAGCUUGACACUGAACAUUGAGCCUUGAUGUGUAGGAUAGGUGGGAGGCUUUGAAGUGUGGACGCCAGUCUGCAUGGAGCCGACCUUGAAAUACCACCCUUUAAUGUUUGAUGUUCUAACGUUGACCCGUGAUCCGGGUUGCGGACAGUGUCUGGUGGGUAGUUUGACUGGGGCGGUCUCCUCCUAAAGAGUAACGGAGGAGCACGAAGGUUGGCUAAUCCUGGUCGGACAUCAGGAGGUUAGUGCAAUGGCAUAAGCCAGCUUGACUGCGAGCGUGACGGCGCGAGCAGGUGCGAAAGCAGGUCAUAGUGAUCCGGUGGUUCUGAAUGGAAGGGCCAUCGCUCAACGGAUAAAAGGUACUCCGGGGAUAACAGGCUGAUACCGCCCAAGAGUUCAUAUCGACGGCGGUGUUUGGCACCUCGAUGUCGGCUCAUCACAUCCUGGGGCUGAAGUAGGUCCCAAGGGUAUGGCUGUUCGCCAUUUAAAGUGGUACGCGAGCUGGGUUUAGAACGUCGUGAGACAGUUCGGUCCCUAUCUGCCGUGGGCGCUGGAGAACUGAGGGGGGCUGCUCCUAGUACGAGAGGACCGGAGUGGACGCAUCACUGGUGUUCGGGUUGUCAUGCCAAUGGCACUGCCCGGUAGCUAAAUGCGGAAGAGAUAAGUGCUGAAAGCAUCUAAGCACGAAACUUGCC